rnacentral:lncRNA from 14 species
UGGUUUUUUAGGAGUCUUCUCAUACAGUAUGGAGCUUUGUCCCAAAAAUCAGAAAAAAGUGGAAGAGCCAAACUCCAGUGAUUUUACUCUGCCUUGUUUCAUUUCUGAACAGAGAUCUACAGCUGUUGCUUCCAUGUCAGCACCUGCCCUCUGAUGUUUGUGUACUUGUGUGUUGUUGGAAUUAGAUGAUCUUUAAGGUCUCUUCCAACUCAAAGCAUUCUGUGAUUCUAUGAUUUAUCUCAGUGUGGACAAGAGAAGUGGUGCAAACAGCCAAAGAGAAGUCACAACCUCCUUUGCAUGUGAAAAUCCAGGUGGCAGGAAGAGUUGGAUGGAAUACUGCUUUCCCAGGAGCCUGGCUGAAUUUGUCUAUGAUUUGGAAAGCUCCCAGAAAAAAAAUCAAGAGUGGGAACCAUCAAGUGUUACAGCAGUGCAAGAAAUAGCUUAUUUAGCUAAGUGUAUUGAAGACAGACUUGAUAUUGUCAGACACUCAAUGGAACAAGCUCCAGGAAACCUUCCUUCCAGAAAAUAAAAAUGGAAUUUGAAAUUUAAAACAUGAUGUGCUCAUGGAAGAAUGCAUAGCAACCUGUGAUGUGAUAUGAUUCAUUUCUAUAUACGCAGGGAAAGAUUUUACAGAAAAGUAUGAUGGGAGAUGUACAGGAUAUUUAAAGUGACAUGAAGACUAUUCCACAUAAUGAUACUUAUUUAAUCUAUCAAGAGCUAGAAUAAAGGCUUAAAUACUUGUGUUUGCCCUCUUAUC